GACAGGUGAGACAGCGACAGGUGAGACAGCAACAGGUGAGACAGGACAGGUGAGACAGGACAGGUGAGACAGCACAGGUGAGACAGCAACAGGUGAGACAGGAAAGGUGAGACAGCGACAGGUGAGACAGGACAGGUGAGACAGCGACAGGUGAGACAGCGACAGGUGAGACAGGACAGGUGAGACAGCGACAGGUGAGACAGGACAGGUGAGACAGCGACAGGUGAGACAGGCAGCGGACCCUACAGUGAACUGCCCUGCUCUCGGAGAUUAACCUGUUUAUUCUACAUAAUAAAACAAUUCAAAUACUUUAAUAAUUUAAACUUUUGUAAACAAGGUUUAUUGUUCCAACGGACGUCAGUAUUGAUCUACUGUUUGAUGACGCUGUGCUCAGUCAGCGGGCCUCCU